GCAAACUUGGUCAUUUAGAGGAAGUAAAAGUCGUAACAAGGUUUCCGUAGGUGAACCUGCGGAAGGAUCAUUACCGAGUGCAGGUCUGCCCCUGGGCAGGCCUAACCUCCCACCCGUGAAUACCUGACCAACGUUGCUUCGGCGGUGCGCCCCCCCCGGGGGCAGCCGCCGGAGACCACACCGAACCUCUUGUUUAAGCCUGUUGUCUGAGCUUGAUAGCAAAUCUAUUAAAACUUUCAACAAUGGAUCUCUUGGUUCCGGCAUCGAUGAAGAACGCAGC
rnacentral:misc_RNA from 1 species